UACGGAAGGGGCUAGCGGUGUUCGGAAUUACUGGGCGUAAAGAGCGCGUAGGCGGCUUACCAAGUUGGGGGUGAAAUCCCGGAGCUCGACUCCGGAACUGCCUUCAAAACUGGUAGGCUCGAGUCCGGAAGAGGGGCGUGGAAUUCCCAGUGUAGAGGUGAAAUUCGUAGAUAUUGGGAAGAACACUGGUGGCGAAGGCGGCGCCCUGGUCCGGUACUGACGCUGAGGCGCGAAAGCGUGGGGAGCAAACAGG
rnacentral:rRNA from 1 species